GAUGAACGCUGACAGAAUGCUUAACACAUGCAAGUCAACUUGAACUUCGGUUUGGGUGGCGGACGGGUGAGUAACGCGUAAAGAACUUGCCUCACAGCUAGGGACAACAUUUGGAAACGAAUGCUAAUACCUGAUAUUAUGAUUAUAUGGCAUCGUAUAAUUAUGAAAGCUAUAUGCGCUGUGAGAGAGCUUUGCGUCCCAUUAGCUAGUUGGAGAGGUAACAGCUCACCAAGGCGAUGAUGGGUAGCCGGCCUGAGAGGGUGAUCGGCCAAAAGGGGACUGAGACACGGCCCUUACUCCUACGGGAGGCAGCAGUGGGGAAAAUUGGACAAUGGACCGAGAGUGUGAUCCAGCAAUUCUGUAUGCACGAUGAAGUUUUUCGGAAUGUAAAGUGCUUUCAGUUGGGAAGAAAAAAAUGACGGUACCAACAGAAGAAGUGACGGCUAAAUACGUG
rnacentral:rRNA from 1 species